GCAAGUCGAACGGUCCCUUCGGGGAUAGUGGCGCACGGGUGCGUAACGCGUGGGAAUAUACCCUUAGGUGCGGAAUAAUAUUUGGAAACGAAUACUAAUACCGCAUAAUAACUCCGGUUCAAAGAUUUAUCGCCUAAGGAUUAGCCCGCGUCAGAUUAGUUUGUUGGUGAGGUAAUGGCUCACCAAGACGAUGAUCUGUAGGGGGUCUGAGAGGAUGAUC
rnacentral:rRNA from 1 species